GGUCAAAGUCAAAGCUUCGGUUAAGUCUCCCUCAGUCCCCUUAUCUCAUCCUCCUCCCCGAAGGGUUGCCUAUGAAUCAAUCAAGAAGCCAUGGAAGAUUACAGGACCUUGCUGGAAAUUACGGCCCAUUUCACUUAUGCUCUAAUACGGCGGCGCCGAGUUCAUGGCGGUAUCCCGGUAGAGAAGGUAUCGGAAGCAUCGGAGCUCUCCUUGCAGUCAGUAUGCUUUCUCAUUACUUGAGAGCUCAGUUAAGAAAUACGUCAUUCCAGUCGAUCCUAAUUCUUGAGCAAGGAAAAAAUGUGCAAGAUUAGAGAGUUACUCAUUCGUACUGCAAAGACAAUUAUUUAGAAGUUGGAUUUUUAGUUCACCUGGUCGAAGAUAUUGAUACUAUCAAAGUCAGUUCCACUUUGCCUGCAUAAUUUGUUUCAACAAAAGGCAGCCUAACAAUGUUAUUGACUUGGUAUGCAAAGUAGUAAAAAGAUCAACCUUCUUCACUGGUUCACUUAUUGUUCUCCUGCUUUGUCUUUUGUUUGGCCGCACUUGAGGUAGAAUUAAUAUAUAUGAUCGAGGUGUGCAAAUGUAAAAGUUAUCAUCACAUUUUGUAUAUCUGAUUCCCUCUUUUUAAUGACUGUGUUUACUUAAAUUCCUAAUAUAACAGGACAGCAAGAAACCAUGGGUGGCAUGCGGUUUGCUCUGCCGAGGCACCAGAUUAGAUUAACUUAACCUCCCUCGUCGGAUGCCUAGAAAGAGAUCCGAAUGAAUGCACGAGGAAAUCACCCUAAUGCCAGAGCAUUUGUCAACUGCUUGAAUGUACAUUGGAAACCAAACAAAAUUUUUCAUACUUUUUUAAUAGCAUAAUGAGAUGUUUGGAAGCGAUUUUUAAAUGGUUAAAAUCAUUUUGCAUUUUAAAAUAACUUGAAAAAUGCUUUUAAUAUCAAAAUCAAUUUUAUAGUAUGAAAAAUGCUUUCUAUUGAAUUGAUUUUGAGUAAUUAAAAAUGCGUUUCAAAGUAAAUUUAAAUAGGAAAAAGGAGAUUUUAGCCAUUUCAAAAACACUUCCAAGUAGCUGAGGAUAAUUGAUUUGAACUCAUAACUUGUAGAUCCUCCUCAGCUUCUGACUGUUGGGCUAAUCUUUGAUGGUUUAUGCUUGUCUAUUUUGAAUUUAUUGACCUCUCACUUAUUUCUUUUCUGCAUCUCUAAAUCUGUGCUAAAAGAGUCAUAAUUGUUGUAUCUUAACCGGAACAGAUUUUAGUUUCCUGAAAAGCAAAAAAGAGAAAAGGGAGAAGAUCACCGCAGAAAUAAUCAGAAUUAAAGGAAGUUUCUGUCUACCAACAUUGAUAGCCAUUACUUUCAAUCAUACGAAUGUUCAAUCAUUUGAGAGAACAAAAGAAGUUUGCUUGGUUGAGAGGAUUCAAAGGCCUGGGUUGAUGCCAAAUAUUACAUUCCUAGGAGGUUGACGUCCAACCAACCCCGGGGUCAUUUAAGAGCAUGACGGUACAGCUCUGGCUCCAUCUCUUCCUUGUCAUUGAUGUAAGAGUCCGUUUUCAUUGCUAUCACCAGAUGAGAAGGUUUGUGUGUGUGGCUGACAAUGCUUUGUUUAUCUUGGGCUUCAGUUUCCAUCUUCUUUGUACUAAGUUAUGAUUCUUAGUGUUCAGUAUAUGGAUCAUCUCCCAUAACAGAUCAUUCUUUA